rnacentral:rRNA from 1 species
GACGAACGCUGGCGGCGUGCCUAAUACAUGCAAGUAGAACGCAGUUGCGCACGGGUGAGUAACGCGUAGGUAACUGCCUCAUAGCGGGGGAUAACUAUUGGAAAAGAUAGCUAAUACCGCAUACUGUGAGAUGGCCCUGCGUUGUAGUAGCUAGUUGGUGAGGUAAAGGCUCACCAAGGCGACGAUACAUAGCCGACCUGAGAGGGUGAGCGGCCACAUGGGGACUGAGACACGGCCCAGACUCCUACGGGAGGCAGCAGUAGGGAAUCUUCCGCAAUGGACGAAAGUCUGACCGAGCAACGCCGCGUGAGUGAAGAAGGCCUUCGGAUUGUAAAGCUCUGUUGUUAGAGACGCGGUACCGAACCAGAAAGGCACGGCUAACUACGUGCCAGCAGCCGCGGUAAUUC